rnacentral:rRNA from 1 species
UACGUAGGGGGCAAGCGUUGUCCGGAAUUAUUGGGCGUAAAGCGUGCGCAGGCGGUUUUGUAAGUCUGUCGUGAAAGCCCCGGGCUUAACCUGGGAAUUGCGAUGGAGACUGCAAGGCUUGAAUCUGGCAGAGGGGGGUAGAAUUCCACGUGUAGCAGUGAAAUGCGUAGAGAUGUGGAGGAACACCGAUGGCGAAGGCAGCUCCCUGGGUCAAGAUUGACGCUCAUGCACGAAAGCGUGGGGAGCAAACAGG